UCUUGGUCAUUUAGAGGAAGUAAAAGUCGUAACAAGGUUUCCGUAGGUGAACCUGCGGAAGGAUCAUUAUCGUAACAACGGGAGGCCCGAGUGCUGUCGCUGACCCCCUCAAGGGGGUCGUGCACGCCCUCGGGGCUUCUCCUCACAAUCAAUCCAUCUCACCCUUUGUGCAUCACCGCCGUGGGCCCUUCGGAAAGGGGGGCUUGCGUUUUUUUUACACAUCCCACACAUUCAUCUUAGAAUGUCUUUUUUGCAUUUCUGUAUGCAAUCAAUACAACUUUCAACAACGGAUCUCUUGGCUCUCGCAUCGAUGAAGAACGCAGCGAAAUGCGAUACGUAAUGUGAAUUGCAGAAUUCAGUGAAUCAUCGAAUCUUUGAACGCACCUUGCGCCCCUUGGCAUUCCGAGGGGCACACCCGUUUGAGUGUCGUGAAAUCCUCAACCCUUCUUCCUUUUUGGAGGAAAAGGCUUGGACUUUGGAGGCUUUUGCUGGCCUCUCUUUGAAGCCAGCUCCUCUUAAACAUUAGCAGGGUUCUCCUUUGCCAGGAUCCCUUGACGUGGAUAAGCCUUUUUACGUCUCGAGGGCUUUCUCUCUCUCUCGCUCCCAAAGAUCUCAUCGAGAUAUCAGGGACCUCAAAUCGGGUGAGACUACCCGCUGAACUUAAGCAUAUCAAUAAGCGGAGGAAAAGAAACUA
rnacentral:sRNA from 1 species